UCAAAUAUUCUCGUUCCAGUCUCCCCAAAUAGCUUCAUAAAUUUCCAGAUCUAUAAGAAUUUCGUGGGUUAGUUUUGUGCAUGAUUCUCCUAACGGAGCCAAACUCAGCUCUGGCGACGGACGCAGAAAAUUUGGUAAAAAUGAGGCGGUAUCGCCGUGGAUGGUGUGGUUUUCUGGAGGUUGAUGAGAACAUCACCCAAGUUAUUGAAAACGUCUCAGGUAGAAAGGAAGGUGUCGAACGUUUGGACAUAAUUUCGCCCACUUCUAUGAACAUCUAACGAUUAGAUUUCAAACAGGACAACAUAAGUUUAUGACCGGAAGGGCUACGGUACACAUAAGCGAGUUUAGAGAGACAAGAUUUCUGGGAAAGCCCUCAGCUUAAGAAAUUCCACGCGCGAGAUCUACAACCAGAAAUAACCAUUCGCGUGACUUACAUGGAAGCGGAAACCUAAAAACUUUGUAUUACUUGAAUACAUGACAGCGGAAGACUUUCCCUUUCUGGGAUGGCACACAUUAAUAUCAUCACCAUUGACUAAACACAGACAUUUGCAAAACAAAGAAAUAAGAUCUUCAAACAAGCGAACAAGGAAAUUUAAAGUGAUUAAUACAUUUCGAAGUGUGUUGACUGCUGCUAAGAUUCAAAUUGCAUCCGGUGCAUGAUCAAUGGAACUUCCAAAUACUCCAAUACUUUUUUACGAAAAAAGUAACACCGCAAAAUGUUACUAAGGAAAAAAUUUUCUCAGUGGAAGCCUUGUGAACCCCCUUAAGAGGUUGGUCGAAGGAAAAUGGGCUGAUUGAAAGAGGAUUGCGAAAACGAAAGGUACAUGUUGGUACGAGUUUGUUGUAGGCACGGUGGCAUACGGCAAAAUCAAAUACAGGUUAACUAACCAGGCCUUUGAUAUCAUUAUAGCUUGUAACAUAUAGCAAUAAUAAAUAUUUUAAAGUAUUAAUCUACCAAGAAGUGGCAGUUAUAAACAAGGACAACGUCUGAAGCGGUGGUUUUUGUUCAAGUUGAGUGUGUAGACUUCGACUUCCUGUUUGUACAAAGCAAGAACGUCAUGACCAUAUUUGGACUUACAAAGUUGCACAGGAAGUGCCUAAGUCUGUUACAAUAUACUGACCUCUUUCCCUGCACGGCUGGCGUGGCUGGAAUUUAUAAGCGCACAGCUGCAUGCCUGCACAACGAUUUAAAACAUGAAAUAUCGCCAGGGACACUGGCUGUUCCGUAAGGGAACACGUCAAUUCUUGGAAUGGAUAGAGCUGUAGUUUUGGUCAAAAUGGUGCUGUCCUUUACAUUAGGGCCAGUCAGUUUAGACGCAACAGAUUUGAGCGUUUAUUGAUCGCGAGGAUGGGGCAAAUCAAUAUCAGAUAGCUCAAGCAUCUAAAACACGAGGAAGAGCAUAACUUAAAAGCCGUUGCUCACCAACAAUCUCAGAAUGACCUUUCGCCUUCCAUAGACAUGGGCAAGAAUCAGGUCUGUUAGUUCGGUCAGAUAACUGGAUGCUGUUCAAUUUCUUUUUCCGUAGCGAUUCGAAAGCACUCACUAACUAAACACUCCGUUGAUUAGUAAACACGAGCCGACCCGGUAAUCGAGCAGAAGUAUAGAAAUGAAACGAACAAUGACAUAUUUUGCACCAUUCUCAUUGUGUAGUUUAUCCUUUGUUUACUUCACGUAUCAUUUUAUUAUUUCCUCUACACAAAUAACAUUCAAGAACAAUGGUUGUGAAGUUAUAAGAUAACAAAAGCAAAUAAAAUCAAAACAAAUUCUCAA